AGAGGAGCUGAUGUUCAGGCUCCAAAGUCUGGAGACGACACUUACUCAGCUCUGAACCCCAACACCACGUCCUCCGACUACGACACUCUGACUCAUGUUAGAGACUCUCCCAGUGACACAUACUCAGCUCUGAACCCCAAAACCAUGACCUCUGAUUACGACACUCUCACACCUGUUAGAGACUCUCCCAGUGACACGUACUCAGCCCUGAACCCUGAAACCAGGACGUCUGAUUACGACACUCUGACUGUUGUCCGUCCUCACCCAGUGAUGAGAAGAGCUCCAGAGAACGAGAACUAACAGCUGUGUUCAUUUACUCUUCAUUCACCACUGUAGCUUCAGCUCUAUGGACAGAACAUUAAAGAGGCGUACGGAGGAUUUCUGAGGAUUAAAGAGCUUUUAGAGCUCAAAACACAUCAGAUGAUUCCUAAAGUCAGAGUGAUUCUCUCAGAUCAGUCAGAGGAGCUUCUGUUUAUGAAGGGUCUUUAUUCACUGUUGUGCUUUUAUACACCAUGAUGAUUCAGACACGGACCAGAGUC